rnacentral:lncRNA from 1 species
GGAGACAGGGCAUGGAGAUAGGAAAAAUGGUGGAAUGAGAUGAACAUUAUUAUCCUAGGUAUGGGUAUGAUUGCACAAAUAGUUUGAUCUAUUGUGUGUACAAUCAGAGAAGUGAAAAAUUGUACUUCACUUGUGUACUAUGAAUCAAAAAACAUUCUGUGGUCAUGUAUAACUGAUUAGAAUAAGUAAAUUAAAAGAAAUUUUUAAAAAUCCUCAAGAUUGACAAGUAUGUGAAAGCUAACAGCAUAGAUCACUUUCACCUCUCUCAAACUUUAUAACAAAUGAGAGUUCAGCAUCAACAGUUUUAUAUUUGAUAUUAAAAAUUCCAUGUUCUUUUUAAAUUAGCAUUUUUCCAAAUUACCAGUGGUGAAAUUCAACUGUAGGAAUAUCAAAUAUUUAAGCUUCUUUUUUUGUGUGUGUGCCUAGGAUUGAACCCAGGACCUUGUGCAUUCACUGGAAGCACUCUACCAACUUAGCUAUAUUCCCAGCCCCUAAUUAAGCAUUCUUUAAAAAAAAUUGUUUUAUCUUUAUACAUUAUAGUUAUACAUACUAUUAUAGUUAACUAACAUAAUUAUACCAACAAUAACAUGAUUUGCUCUUGUUCAGUCACCAGUACUUUUUCUUUUCCUCCACUAAUGUCUCCCCCUGUUCCUUUUCCUCUACUCUAAUAGUCUUCCUUUUGUUUAUUUAAAGUAUUUCAAAAUCAGUGCUUUAUAGAUACUCAUGAAGAUGAAAUUCAGUGCUAUAUUCGUACAUGUACAUUGAAUAGUUUUUUCAAUUCCAUUCCACCCUUCCUUUCUUUUACCAGCCCUCCUUCAUCACCCUCAAUCCCCUCCUCUGCAUAUCUCCUUUCUGUUUUUGUGAGACUUUCUCCCCCUCUUAUUUCCUGCAUUUUGGUUUAACUUCCACAUAUGAGAGAAAGCAAUCAAUAUUUGAGUUUCUGAUUCAGGCUUAUUUCACUUGCCAUGAUGUUCUGCACUUGCAUCCAUUUAUCAGCAAAGGCCAUAAUUUCAUUCUUCUUUAUCACUGAGAAAAAUUCAUUAUGUAUAUGAACCAUAUUUUAAAAAUCUAUUUAUCUUUUGACAAGAAACUGGGCUAGUUCCAUACAUUGGAUACUGCAAAUUGUGAGGUUUUAAACAUUGAUGUAGCAAUAUCUCUGUAGUAUGCUGAUUUUAGAUCUUUUGAAUAAAUAACAAUGAGUGGGAUAGCUGGUUCAUAAGGUGGUUAUAGUUUUAGUGUUUUGAGGAAUCUCCAUACUUCUUUCCAGAAUGGCUGUAGUAAUUCAUGGUAUCAACAACAGUGCAGUAAUGUAUGUUUUCCUCCACAGCCUCACCAGCAUUUAUUAUUGUUUGUAUUCUUGAAAAUAGCCAUUCUGACUGAAGUGAAAUAAAAUGUUAGUGUAGUUUUAAUUUGUAUUUUCCUUCUUGCUGGAGAUAUUGAAUAUUUCUUUUUUCAUUUAUUUGUUGGUUAUAUCUUCUUUUGAAAAGUAUCUGUGUAGUUCUUUUGCACAUUUACUAAUUAAAUUAUUCAUUUUGCUGAUGUUUUUUGAGUUUUUAUACUGGAUAUUAAUGCCCUAUCUGAGGAGCAUUUCACAAGGAUCUUCCCCAUUCUGCAAUCUCUUUUUGGAAAUAGAUACCUAGGUACCAUCUCUGUGACUGGGAAACGAUCUGUGGGCCCACAUGCAUCUAAGCCCUCAGUGUCCUUCAGACAGCUCCUGGAGAAUAAUGACAUCCCACAAUUUUAACAGUGCAGUCAUUGUCUAUGGGGAAGACAGAUUCCAGGGGCUUCCUUCCCAGUGUCUCCUCAGGAUUUUCUCCCUCUGAAGACUUUAGACACCAGGACUAGUCUUAAUUGUGUGGUGCUUGAGAAACUGAUGUGACUCCAUUUUUGAGAAACCAGCUUCUACCUCAAGGCCUGUCCAGAGGGAGCAGGCAUGACCCUUAUCUUUGGAAAAACCCAGAGAGCACUCCUAGGUACAUAGCCACCCUGUUGAGUUGUUUGUAAAUAACAGAAAGUAUAUGAACCACCAGGUGUCUCUGAGUCAGUUACACUAGGUGAGGACCCAUAGCAACCCCCUAAUAAACACCAAUCAGCAUGAGACAGGAAAAAUAUCUGAAAUUCGAGGUGACCCUCCCAGUAGUUUUUUUAUGAUUGAUGACAUGAUUAGGCAACCCUGCAGUUUAGCAUAUACACUUUUGCAACCCCUCAUGGCCUAAGCCAAACAGUUCAAAUGUACCCACCAUUUGAACUAACCCAUCACCCUUACUCAACUUGUUCACACUGGAGAAUGUGCUAAUCAAUGUUAAGAGUUGUUGUUUGAUUUUCCCACAGUGUGAAAUGAUUUGCUGUAUGAUGUUGUGAUGCAUAGAGUAUCCCCCCCCAAAACCUUUAAAUCUUCACUGAACUAAGGGUUAGGACUCACUCCUCGGGACUGCUGCAUUGGAAGUGGCUGUGAGUCCAGGUUCGAGCUGGCAAUAAAGACUCUUGUGUGAUUGCAUUGGAUUCAGCCCCUGGAGGUCUAUUGGGGUCCCACAAAUCUGGCAUUACAUGCUGAGAAAUUGUGAAGACUGAGUGAGUCAGCAGAGGAGGAAAGAGCAGGAGACUGGACAUGAAGUAGCUCAGAAGGAUAGUGGUGUUAGCCUUGGUGAGGCAGCGGCAAGGAGAUGGAAACAUAAAAUCAAUACCAAUACAUAUAACUAGGUAAUUGUGGAUGGCUUAUGGAUGUAAAAUUGCAUGUACUUAAAGUGUCUUUUUAUAAAACGACCCUCUCAGAAGUUUUAUAAUGUACAAAUAUUUUAACAGGACAGAAAUUAUUAACUAUAAGUGUGGAUACAUCCUAAAUUAUUCAUUAAAACUAGGAGCAUCUUAGUUGAAAUUCNCAGAAGUUUUAUAAUGUACAAAUAUUUUAACAGGACAGAAAUUAUUAACUAUAAUUGUGGAUACAUCCUAAAUUAUUCAUUAAAACUAGGAGCAUCUUAGUUGAAAUUCAUACCAACAUUUUAGGUAGAAGCCUAUGACCAACAAAGGGACAACUACAAAUUUACCCAGUAAAAACACCUGCAAGUAUCACCAAAACACCCUGAAGAAACUACACAUGGUGCUUACCAUGAGACUUUCAAGUAAAAAGAUGGUCACAUAUUGUAUUAAUUGUUUCUGUUGACAUAACCAUAGGCCUGGGGUUGGAGCUUGCUAAAGAAAAUCACUGAGGGCUUAAAACUUUUAAGGGUAAAUUUGACUGUUAAUAUUAAUGUCAAACAUUGUCAAUUCUUAUCAAAUUAGCUUCUAGCCAUCCCCACCCCACCCCCAAAGCAUAAAUGAUGUGCAUGGGCUUUUGUGGCAGCCCGCCCACACUUUGCAGAAUUCUUGGUGGGCUAUGAAAACUCUGUGUCACCUUGGACACUGAGUUCUCAUUGCUGAUUGCCCUGUUAGUCCUGAAGCUACUGAUACAGACCCACAGCCAAGGUCACACCCUUCCCAAGCUUUACAAGACAUGUCCUUGUGAUUUAAAACAUCAGUUUCUUUCUCUCUUACCUUUUCCUUGUUUCCUCACUUUCUCUGUCUUUUAGCAGUCAUCAAAAAUGAAAACAAAGCAAGUACCUCUGGGGAGAGGAAAGAAUAUUAUUUCUAGGACUGCCAUAUUAAUAUAUUAUAGGUCCAGUUUUCAGUCAAAAAAUUAAAAAAUAAACUGGGUGUGUGGUUAAUUCAAAGGCUGAAUAAAUAAUAAACCAACAGAAAACAUCCUUCAGGAAUGGCACUCCCCAGUCAACAAAUGUUCCUGCUGCAGCUCUAAAACAUGACAACAACCACAUGGUUGGUGUUUUAAAGGGGGGGUGUAGUUUGUAUGUGUCUUUUUAUGACUGAGUUAAGGCAGGUUAAGAUCUCUAAAAAUGUUCCAAGGGAAUGGUGGCUCUAACAGAGAAUUUUUUAUUGUCAUUAUACUCUGAGAGAAGGUUGUGGGCUGUUUUUAAAGAUAAUUCUCUUGAUGUAUGUGGACAUCUCAUGGGAGGAUGGAUGUGCUGUUUUUUUCUAUGGACUGUCUGUUAAAGACUGUUUAUGCUAAUGAAGAGUCUUGGAUAUCAUCAACUUUUAGAAAAUGUAUUUUAGUGCAGAGGGUAUUCAGACUCCAGCAAAAGAAGAGUAAUGCCCAACACAUCAAAGGUUUUGGAGAUCCAUGGAAAAUGCUGAGCUUGAGGAGUCCUAAGAUCUUCAGACUACAUGGAGAGCAGUCUUGAAACUCAGUUGUAAAGACUUCAAAAGGAAAGUGACAGAUGGUCUAACUAAGGGUUCUGUUAACCAUGCCAUGCUUUAUCUAUCAUAAAAAUUGACUGCCAGCAUCCUGGAUAAUUCUAAUGAAAAAAUUCUCAUGAUUUAAAGCUAAAGCCAAUUCUAAAUGUGUCCCAUUCUCCCCCCCACAUUUUUUUUUUACCAUGGAUUGAACCAAAUGACACUUAAACAUGGAACCACAUCUGCAGCCCUUUUUUUUAAUAUUUUAUUUAAAGACAGAGUCUUCAUGAGUUGCUUAGGACUUCAAUAAGUUGCUGAGGCUGGGUUUGAACUCAUGAUCCUCCUGCCUCAGCCUUCCAAGCCACUGGGAUGACAGGAAUGCACCACUAUGCCCAGCAAACUCUUCUCAUUCUAAUGAUCAUAUCAAGUUAUUGUGCCCUGAGCUAUAUCAUUGCCUCAUUCCCAAAUAGUGCUUGUUGCAAUGGUUAAAGCUCCAGGUUCUGUAUAUUCAUGUUGACAUCAGAACAGCUGUGCCCCAAAUCUUUACUGUUUAAAAAUACAGAAUAAGAAUGUAGAUCAUAAUGAAGGAACAGAUCAUGUGAGCAGGUUGAAAUCAGAAUUGAGGAGGGAAUGUGGAACUGGGGCCUCCUACUCUAGAGAGAAGAGUCUAUGCAUCUCACAUAAAUAUAGCAGAAAGGCUUAUGUAAGUAGCCUUUGUGUUCUAUGACAAAAUCCAGGAGACUGAGUACUUUACAGAAAGAAGAUCCUUAUUUCACAGUUUAGGGUCCUCACAGCAUGCCACCCAAAUUUGCUCAAUUCCUAUGUGGCCCUGUGCUGUGUCAUAAGGGGGUGGCUGGCAUCAUAGCAGAAAUGUGCGUGAGAAGUCACAUGGUGAGUUUGGAAGGCACAGAGCUGACUAGGAACUGUCCUGUCUUUUAGCACACCCCUAUCAUUAGAACCAGCUAGCAUCCUAAAGAACUUCCUUCAUCAUUUCAAUGGGCAAAAAUCCCCAGUGACCUGUCAACCUCCACCAGGCCUUACCUCAUAUGGGCCCCACCACCUGUUAAUAUUGCCACACUGGACACCUUGCUUCCAAUAGAAAAACCCUUGGGAGACAUAUCACAUCCAGUAGAAAGACAAUGCAUUUCUAUAAAAAGGGUCAGUACUUCCAAAAAUUCCAUGAAAAAGCAAAUGAAGGCAUAAGCAGCAGCAAACUCAACCCAGGAAAGACAGACUAAAAAUUCCUUUGAAGAAAAGAUAACUCAACAUCAACCUCAGCAUAGACUAAAUCUGUUUUAUACAAGUGUUUCUGAUAAACACUGCACACUGGAACUCAGGAGAACAAGGAAGUCACUAAUCUAGGGAGAGAAACAACAUUGUAGGUAAAUUCUGCAAACAGAGAAAUUUAUACCCAUGGAGAAACUCUUUUGUGACCACAGAGCUCAAUUGCACCUGGAAAAAGAUAUCAAAGUGCAUAAGUGUAUUCUAGUGUUAUGUAUAACUAAUUAAAAAAUUAAAAAUUAAAAAACAGGAAUAUGAGUGCUACUUCAAACAUGCCUUCUAUGAAAGAUUUCAAUCCCUACGUGUUCUUUAUUUCUACCCUCAUGCUGUCUAGGACUCCCUGGGCAUCUGGAGCUGCACAGAGCAGUGUUCAAACCAAGAUGAAGGAAAGAGGAAGAGAUGAAGUACCUUUAAAAAAGAGAAAGAAGGUUUUGUGUUACCAUAGUAUUUUCAAACUAUUCUGAUGGUGUGGCCUUCAGUUCAGUUUUUUCUAUAUUAGUCUAUUUUACAUCUGUUAAUCACUAGACUCAUUACAUUUAUUAAAUGUUCAUGUUAUUUGUACUUUGGGAACAGUCAAGGUGACACAUAACCUUUGAAAGACUGGCUUUCCCGAGGGCACCCAAUUUUUAGGAAUUGGCUCCACAUGGAAUCCAUAUAAAAAUUUACCUACCCAUGGCUGUAGAUAAAAACAUACCAAAUGGUAAAUACUUAGGGUGAACAUUUCAGAAAAUCUUGUACUUGAUAUGUAGACUAUGUUAGAGGUGCUGUAUUCCAGUUAGGAGUUUUGCUGCAUGAUUUGAUUAUGGCUGUUCUUGACAUGGGGGAAUAUAUGUGCUUAUGUAAGAUGAGAGAUAAGUGAGUUUGUUCUACUCUAGUGACCAUUUCACUCUAUAUCUAUGAUGUCAUUUAUCUACCUUAAUAUAUACAGUAAAAAUUAUUUUUCUUCAAAACUUUGGUAAAGUAAUUGAGUAGAUAUAUUUUCAAAAAAAGACAUAAAGUGGUCAGCAGAUAUAUUAAUUAUGCUUAUAGUGACUAACCAUCAGUAAAAAACAUAAGAUGAUAUUACUUCACAAUUGUUGGGAUGGUUAAAAAAAGACUAGAAAUAACAAGUGUUUGCAGAAAUAUGGAGCAAAGAUAACCUUGGGCAGAUUAUUUGGGUGAUUAUGCAAAUUGGCCCACUCACCUUGGAAAACUGUAUAAAAAUGCCUUGGAAAAUUGAGAGUAAAACAUACUUGUGACACUGAAAUCCAACUCCCUUGUGUGUAUCUAAAUGAAAACAAAUUGAAUCAGCCUCCUUAUAUCAGAGAAAACAUUCAGCAUUUUUUGGGGGGGAUUGGCUGGCUAACUUCACUCAGCAUUGUCUUCUCCAACUCCAUCCAUUUACCUGCAAAUGCCAUGAUUUUAUUCUCUUUUAUUGCUGAAUAAAAUUCCAUUGUGUAUAUGUGCCAUAGUGGAGUAGGGAGGGGAAGCAUGGGAGGAAUGGAUGAAUUCUAGAUAGG